UACGGAGGGAGCUAGCGUUGUUCGGAAUUACUGGGCGUAAAGCGCGCGUAGGCGGCUGUGUAAGUUAGAGGUGAAAGCCCGGGGCUCAACCCCGGAACUGCCUUUAAGACUGCAUCGCUUGAAUCCGGGAGAGGUGAGUGGAAUUCCGAGUGUAGAGGUGAAAUUCGUAGAUAUUGGGAAGAACACCGGUGGCGAAGGCGGCUCUCUGGACCGAGACUGACGCUGAGGCGCGAAAGCGUGGGGAGCAAACAGG
rnacentral:rRNA from 1 species